UGCCCUCGGGUGCCGCUGGUGCAGCAACACAAACUUAAUUACGCAAAGAAGCAUAACUAAGCUUUAACCAAAAUCCAAAUUCUCAACGAUGGAUAUCUUGGUUCCCACAACGAUGAAGAACGCAGCGAAGUGCGAUAAGCAAUGCGAAUUGCAGAACCGUGAGUCAUCAGAUUUUUGAACGCAACUGGCGCUAAUUGGAGUCCCAAUUAGCAUGCUUGUUUCAGUGUCUCUUUUUCUCCUCACCCAAAUCAUAAUGCGAGAGAUACCCUUCUCUUGCUAAGCAUGAAAGCACUCUGCGCUCUGCGAGCGACCUCGGUCGCACUCAAUGCAGCAGUCACAUUGCUCACAAUGUGAACUCAUUGAGAGCGGAGGCAGUGCGGCGAAAGCUGCCAGUGCUUAGACACACAAACUUUAC
rnacentral:misc_RNA from 1 species